UCUAGGGCUGUUUUCAUCCUUCACCAUCAAGUAAUCAAGAAAAAGAAGGAAAGAAAAUGGCCACUAUGAUUGGACAAAAGAAUCUUAUGAGUAAACUGUCACAGCCUCAACAAAUGGGGAAAGGAAACCUUCAUGAGAGAUUGAAAUCAAACAAGUCUCUUGAAAUCCACCCAAUAAGGUAAACUGAAGAAAUUUGACUGUUUCUCAAGGCAAAAAAAGAUGGCCAUAUACAAUUAUUUAGAUAAAUAAAAAAAUAAUCUGCUUCCA